rnacentral:rRNA from 1 species
AUUGAACGCUGGCGGCAUGCUUUACACAUGCAAGUCGAACGGUAACAGGCCUUCGGGCGCUGACGAGUGGCGAACGGGUGAGUAAUGCAUCGGAACGUGCCCAGUCGUGGGGGAUAACUAUCCGAAAGGAUAGCUAAUACCGCAUACGAUCUGCGGAUGAAAGCGGGGGACCUUCGGGCCUCGCGCGAUUGGAGCGGCCGAUGUCAGAUUAGGUAGUUGGUGGGGUAAAGGCUCACCAAGCCAACGAUCUGUAGCUGGUCUGAGAGGACGACCAGCCACACUGGGACUGAGACACGGCCCAGACUCCUACGGGAGGCAGCAGUGGGGAAUUUUGGACAAUGGGCGCAAGCCUGAUCCAGCAAUGCCGCGUGCGGGAAGAAGGCCUUCGGGUUGUAAACUGCUUUUGUACGGAACGAAACGGCUCUGGUUAAUACCUGGGGCUAAUGACGGUACCGUAAGAAUAAGCACCGGCUAACUUCGUGCCAGCCGCCGCAGUAAAAC